rnacentral:rRNA from 1 species
AAACGACUCUCGACAACGGAUAUCUCGGCUCUCGCAUCGAUGAAGAACGUAGUGAAAUGCGAUACUUGGUGUGAAUUGCAGAAUCCCGUGAACCAUCGAGUUUUUGAACGCAAGUUGCGCCCGAAGCCUUCUGGCCGAGGGCACGUCUGCCUGGGCGU